rnacentral:rRNA from 1 species
UACGUAGGUGACAAGCGUUGUCCGGAUUUACUGGGCGUAAAGAGCGCGCAGGCGGUCGUUCAAGUCGAGUGUGAAAGCCCCCGGCUCAACUGGGGAGGGUCACUCGAUACUGAUCGACUCGAAGGCAGGAGAGGGAAGUGGAAUUCCCGGUGUAGUGGUGAAAUGCGUAGAUAUCGGGAGGAACACCAGUGGCGAAGGCGACUAUCUGGGCUGCAACUGACGCUGAGGCGCGAAGGCUAGGGUAGCAAACAGG